ensembl:snRNA Gm25334 predicted gene, 25334
AUAUUCACCUCGGCAGCACAUAUACUAAAUCGUGAAUGAUAUAGAGAAGAUUAUUAACAUGGUCUCUACUCAAAGAUGACACACAGGAACUGGGCAAGCCUUUAAUUCCA